CUUCGGCUCCCGCUAUCGGAUGAGCCUAUGUCGGAUUAGCUGGUUGGUGAGGUAAAGGCUCACCAAGGCGACGAUCCGUAGCUGGUCUGAGAGGAUGAUCAGCCACAUCGGGACUGAGACACGGCCCGAACUCCUACGGGAGGCAGCAGUGGGGAAUAUUGGACAAUGGGGGGAACCCUGAUCCAGCCAUGCCGCGUGUGUGAAGAAGGCCCUCGGGUUGUAAAGCACUUUCAGUGAGGAAGAACGCCUGGUGGUUAAUACCCAACAGGAAAGACAUCACUCACAGAAGAAGCACCGGCUAACUCCGUGCCAGCAGCCGCGGUAAUACGGAGGGUGCGAGCGUUAAUCGGAAUUACUGGGCGUAAAGCGCGCGUAGGUGGCUUGAUAAGCCGGUUGUGAAAGCCCCGGGCUCAACCUGGGAACGGCAUCCGGAACUGUCAAGCUAGAGUGCAGGAGAGGAAGGUAGAAUUCCCGGUGUAGCGGUGAAAUGCGUAGAGAUCGGGAGGAAUANCCAGUGGCGAAGGCGGCCUUCUGGACUGACACUGACACUGAGGUGCGAAAGCGUGGGUAGCAAACAGGAUUAGAUACCCUGGUAGUCCACGCCGUAAACGAUGUCGACCAGCCGUUGGGUGCCUAGCGCACUUUGUGGCGAAGUUAACGCGAUAAGUCGACCGCCUGGGGAGUACGGCNCNNGCAAGGUUANAAACUCAANAUGAAUUGACGGGGGCCCGCACAAGCGGUGGAGCAUGUGGUUUAAUUCGAUGCAACGCGAAGAACCUUACCUACUCUUGACAUCCUGCGAACUUGUGAGAGAUCACUUGGUGCCUUCGGGAACGCAGAGACAGGUGCUGCAUGGCUGUCGUCAGCUCGUGUUGUGAAAUGUUGGGUUAAGUCCCGUAACGAGCGCAACCCUUGUCCUUAUUUGCCAGCGCGUAAUGGCGGGAACUCUAAGGAGACUGCCGGUGACAAACCGGAGGAAGGUGGGGACGACGUCAAGUCAUCAUGGCCCUUACGAGUAGGGCUACACACGUGCUACAAUGGUCGGUACAAAGGGUUGCCAACUCACGAGAGUGAGCCAAUCCCGAAAAGCCGAUCUCAGUCCGGAUCGGAGUCUGCAACUCGACUCCGUGAAGUCGGAAUCGCUAGUAAUCGUGGAUCAGAAUGCCACGGUGAAUACGUUCCCGGGC
rnacentral:rRNA from 1 species